rnacentral:lncRNA from 1 species
UUUUUUUUUUUUCCCUAAUCAUAUCUAUCUUUUGGUAAUGUGAUUUGCAGGAAAUGAAGAAUAAAGCACUACAAAUGAAGUACUUUUAAACAAACUAAUUAAUUACAUGUGCAAAUGCAUUGACUAAGUUUGGGUUUGCAAUUGGAGAUCUAAUUAUGUUGAAAAUGGCAUAGCAUAUUUAAAUAGAUCCUGGUGCCUCUGGCUCAUCCAGUUGUCUCUAGGCUGUUUUUUAAGUAUGCAACUAUUCUCUUGCUGUUAGGUAUCACCUGUUAUAGUUUAAAAGCAUGGUUGCGUGCCUAAUUAGACAUAUAAUAGUGAUGUUUGCAUAUACAAAGUAUAAAAACUUUGUAUUGAUUUAAGGUACAUUCUUCUACUUCACAGAAAAGCUGUCCAUCAAAUGCUGUACAGAGGUGUUUAUUAUUGCAGCAUUUAUUAAAAAAAAAAAUUCCUCAUUAUAAACUACAGAAUUUAAACUGUUUUCUUGCAUAAUGUCUAGCAGUUAGCUAGUUAGCCCCUUUAUAAUUACUCUUUCAGCUACUUAUUUAAAUCUAGUUCCAACCUCAUACAAUCUUUCAAGGCAAGUGUUUAUGGAAAGAAGUUUAACCUGUCCAUAAUAGGUAGUUUUUAAGAAAGGGGGUAGACAAUUAACUCUCAGAAAUAAUGUAGAUCCAGCCUAAUUGCAAAAACUAGAAUGAGAGGAAUCAUGUCACCAGUGUAUGUGUAUGAAUCAUAUCACCAGUUUCUUAGACCUUUUUCAGAUGACUAGAUACAUUUUACAUGAGAUGGCAACAAUACCAUUCUUGUAUUUAAUUGUUGACACGAGGACCAUAUUUCUGGUAAAGAAUAUCAGAGUUGUCAGAACAAUCAGAAUUAAAGGUAGUUUCAGGAUUUUCAAAGAAGAAUUUUGUAUAUUAAUGGCCAGAUAAAUUGAGUUCUGAAUAACAGAUAUCGCUCUUGAUAACCAUUUCUUUGAUCAGUUUCCAGAAGAGAAGUCAAAGUGUACAAUUUUAAGAUACUGCAUAUUCACUAGUGUGAAUUAUUUCUGUGAAGAUACACAGUGUUGAUUCUAUGUACAGUAGGUUGUAUUUUCAUUGGUUUAUGAAGAUAAGUAUAAAUUAAGUACUCAUUUAACAUUUAUUUUUGAAUUACAGUUAGGAAAGAAGCUGAGGACAAUAUUUUGAUUUUAAAGUUGGUCUGCAGAUUACAUCAGAACACCUUAUAUAUAAAAAGUAUAAAAAUAUUUAAAGAGCUAGGAUAACCUUUGUCAAUUCACAGGCAGUGCUGGAAUACUAAACACCAGAUAGAUACAGGUUCCUGUAUAUAUAACCAGACUUUUCUAUGAAACCACUUGCUUAGUUAACAAGCUUUCUGAAAAUUCUUUUCUUUCAAAUUUAUCGGUCUGGUGAAACAUCAAAAACUAGUGCAGAAAACGUUGGGCAGAACGUAGACACUUCAGUAAGUAUGAAUAAUUACAUCAUACUGGUACAAUUAAGAUACAAUGAAAAUUAACUAAUAUUUUACAUAGUGUUGUUAUUAAAUGCAGCCUGAGAGUCUUAAAAUUGAUCUUGUUCUGCAUACUUCCCGCUGCUCCAGGAAAUAGUUCCAGAGCAGUUCUUUUGGCUGCUGGUGUACAUCACAACGCAAACAAAAUUCAUAAAUCAUACUGACAGAAAACAUCAGUCCUGGUUGCUACUUAAUGAGGCUUUAAUCCAUUUUGAACAGUGGGUUUUUUGUUGGUUUUAUUUUGUUUAAUAUAAUUUCCUUUUCCUAAAAUUACUAUAGGAGGAAAAGAGGGAAUACAGUUAGAAAAAUAGCAUGUCUUCUGUGUGGUCUUUAAGGGAAGCAGAGAUUAGGACAUUCUUUUCAAAUAUGGGUAUUUUUAGUAAAUCUCUUCUGAGCCCAAUCCAUAGAAUUGGAUUAUCACAGAAUCACAAUGAUGGGUGAGGUCGGAUCAUCUAGUCCAACUUCCCUGCCCAAGUAUGGUCAGCUACAGUAGGUUGCCUAUCACCAUAAGCAGAGGAUUUGUGGAGCAGCCAUGGUAUCCUGUGAGAAUGAACAAUUAAUGAAAUCUCUACAGAUUUUGAGGUACAAGGACUGGGCACAGUCUGUUGGGGUAUGAAAUACGAAGUAGAAAUCCUAGAGUGGGAUUGUGUUGCAUAGGGGGAGGUUGGAGUGGGGUGACUCUCUCUCCCCCCCCCCGCCAAGGCUCAGGUAUCUGGGUUUAGGAAAUUACUGUUGAAGUAAUGUUAAGUUUUUAUCAGGUAUUAUAUUUUUUGAAUAUUUAUAGUAUUGUACAUGGCACCAGCAUAGAGAAGACUAGUCAUCAUCUUUCUGUGUCCUUUUCCAGCAAAUUUCAUAACGUGGUUAUGACUGAACUGUGUAAACCAAGGAUUAUCAAGCUAGUUCUCCUCCCAGAAUGAGUUCAAUGCUGCUUAGUGCUUUGUUUUACUUUUUUUUUUGAUAGAGUAUUGCAUGCACAUAUAUAUAUAUGUUCCAGAAAAUAAAUAUAUGGUUUUCACAUGAUAAAACAAAAUGAAACAAAACUUGAUUAAAAUGUAUUAAAUUUAGAAAAUGGUUAACCAAGACUUAUUUUUGACUACUGUUUUCUGUGGGAAAUUUUGCUCAAUAGUACUUUCAGAAGAUAAUUCUAUUUAACUCUUAAUUUGCUAGAAGUCUUCCAAUUACAUUUUAGAGGGAAAGAAAUUACAUUUGUUCCUUUAAUUCCUCCUUUCCCCAUCUUUUGGUAAAAAUAUAUGCUGGAAAAAUUCCUGAUUUAGCCCUUCUUGGUGUAUUAUUUUAGUAUUUACAAAUACUGCAGCUAGACAUUCACCCUUAAUUAUGUGUGAUGAGUUUGCUAGAAAUGGUAAAACAUAUUCGUACAGGGAAAAAUCACAUAAACUUCUGUAUGUUAUAAUGAAUUUUCUUCUAAAAAACCUAAAUUGGUUUGGCUUCAUAAAUGCAUCUCUCAUGGUUGACUGGCUUAAUAUUUAUUGUGUCAGCUGCAAUUUAAAGGUUAUUAAGUCUGACCUAGAUUUCAUCGGUAUACAGGUUGAUCUACUCAGUUAUCUUUUUGUGUGUGUAUGUGUUUUAUCGCUCACCAAUUUCUGCUUUUAAGCUAGUGGUUUGAAAACUCUAAGACCAACCCAGUGAUGAUAAGAAAGAGAAUUACUCUUUGUAAAAGUUUAUUUUAUAUCUUUUCUUUUUCCUUUGCACUACAUCCUUUUUGAAAACAGUUAUCUGAGGAUAAGCAGCAUAAAAGUAGUGAUUUAACAUACACUGGCGUCAUGCUUCAUUUGUCUGCUACAGCAGCAGUUACCAAAGGAAGUCAGUUCUUUAUCCCUCAUCCUACUCCAUGCAGAGAAGAUAAAGUGAGAUUAAGAGUGAAAAUAAAAAGGGAUUCAGUUAAAGCACGAACCUUCUGAUAACAACUGGGAGACAGGAGGAAGUUGUUGGAAGUCCGUGUAUUGCCACUGAAAAGAGAACAAUACUUCUUCUGGAAAAACCUUACAUUGCUUCCUGUUUUGAAGCUUUAAUCUAAACUUCCAUUCUAAAAUGGAAGAUUUUGAAUUUAGCGUCUUGAUGAACAAAACCAGGAUUUCAUUGUUUUCUCUCAAUAAAAAAUUAGAUUUGAUUAAUGCUGAAAAAUGCGCUCAUUUAGAAUCAUAGAAUUAUAGAAUCAUAGAAUCGUAAGGGUUGGAAAGGACCUUAAGAUCAUCUAGUUCCAACCCCCCUGCCAUGGGCAGGGACACCUUGCCCUAAACCAUGUGGCUCAAGGCUCUGUCCAACCUGGCCUUGAACACCGCCAGGGAUGGAGCAUCCACAACCUCCCUGGGCAACCCAUUCCAGUGCUUCACCACCCUCACUGUAAAGAACUUCUUCCUUAUAUCUAAUCUAAACUUCCUCUGUUUAAGUUUGAACCCAUUACCCCUUGUCCUACCACUACAGUCCCUAGAGGAAGAGUCCCUCCCCAGCA